UUAUGAUGGUGGAGGAGAAAACUGAGAAGAAAGCAGGAAAUUUUUGGAAGGGUAGGGAGAAAUGGCUUGUAUGAAUUCGCUGUCUUACAUUCAACUCCUGAUGCCAUCUGAGAUCAGAAGUGCUGCAGAUCUCCAAGCAGGUCUCCAUUUAGUUGAUUUUGGAAAGCAUGAAGUGUUUGAGAGGAUUAGAGGCAGCAGAAGAAGAGGAAUUCAGAAGACCCUGCCCCUGCUUGAGGAGGGGAUGCUAGAAAUCUGGGUGCAUGAGGCCAAGCAGCCUCCCAACCUGUCAUCCUUCCAGUGCAAGCAAGUGCUUGGUUCCCCCUGCAGCAGCCACGUUCCCUCCAGCUGCAGGUAA
rnacentral:lncRNA from 1 species